UAACGCGUUAAGCGAUCCGCCUGGGUAGUACGGCCGCAAGGCUAAAACUCAAAGGAAUAGACGGGGACUUGCACAAGCAGAGGAUUAUGUGGUUUAAUUCGAUGGUAAACGAAAAACCUUACCAAGAUUAGAAAUGCAUUCGAAUCCCAGAGGAAACUUUGGGAGCCGCAAGGCGGAUGCACAGGUGAUGCAUGGCCGUCGUCAGUUCGUGAUUUGAGUUGUUCCCUUCAGUGGGGUAACGAACGCAACCCUCGUUGCCUGUUAUAUUUGUCAGGCGAGACUGCCCCUUUUCAGGGGAGGAAGGUGAGGAUGACGCCAGGUCAGCAUGUCCCUCUGAUAUCUUGGGCUACACACAUAAUACAAUCGUCGGUACAACGGGUCGCAAUGGAGUAAUCCGGAGCUAAUCCUUAUAAAGCCGGCGUCAGUUCAGAUUGGGGGCUGAAACUCGACCCCAUGAAGUUGGAUUUGCUAGUAAUCGCGGGUCAGCUAUACCGCGGUGAAUACGUUCUCAAGUCUUGUACUCACCGCCCGUCAACUCAAGGGAGUUGGGAGUACCCGAAGACCUACCUCGCGUGGGUUUAAGGUAAGCUCAAUGACAGGGAGUAAGUCGUAACAAGGCACGGGUAGCGGAAGCUGC
rnacentral:rRNA from 1 species